AUUCGCGGCCUAUCAGCUUGUUGGUGAGGUAACGGCUCACCAAGGCGACGACGGGUAGCCGGCCUGAGAGGGUGACCGGCCACACUGGGACUGAGACACGGCCCAGACUCCUACGGGAGGCAGCAGUGGGGAAUAUUGCACAAUGGGCGCAAGCCUGAUGCAGCAACGCCGCGUGAGGGACGACGGCCUUCGGGUUGUAAACCUCUUUUAGUAGGGAAGAAGCGAAAGUGACGGUACCUGCAGAAAAAGCACCGGCUAACUACGUGCCAGCAGCCGCGGUAAUACGUAGGGUGCAAGCGUUGUCCGGAAUUAUUGGGCGUAAAGAGCUCGUAGGCGGUCUGUCGCGUCUGCUGUGAAAACCCGAGGCUCGACCUCGGGCCUGCAGUGGGUACGGGCAGACUAGAGUGCGGUAGGGGAGAUUGGAAUUCCUGGUGUAGCGGUGGAAUGCGCAGAUAUCAGGAGGAACACCGAUGGCGAAGGCAGAUCUCUGGGCCGUAACUGACGCUGAGGAGCGAAAGCGUGGGGAGCGAACAGGAUUAGAUACCCUGGUAGUCCACGCCGUAAACGUUGGGCGCUAGAUGUGGGGACCAUUCCACGGUUUCCGUGUCGCAGCUAACGCAUUAAGCGCCCCG
rnacentral:rRNA from 1 species